UAAAAUGGCAGCCAACUUGAAGCACCAAGUCCAUCAGUACUUGAUUAUGACUCGUGUGUUGUUACUAUUAGUGUAUCAUUACCUCUUGUUAUCUAUAGACUAUCAACCAGUGAAGAGGAGUGAACACUCCACUGUACGGGUACAUGUGGCAAUUAUUCUCGACCGUGGCGCACUGCCAGGGACAGGCUCAAAUUUAGAGUAUGUUGGAUCAGAGAAUUGUGUUAUCAGGAGACGUGGUAAUGCUGGAGCUUCUAGAUACUGCCUACCUAGUCUCGCCCCGCUCCUGUGGGCGGGGCAAGACUACUGCCUACCUACUUUGAGGAUGGCUAGUAAGAAUAUGAGAGCUGACAAGUCGAAAACAGUUUUAGGUCUAAACAUGAAAUGAGUAUCACUUUGUGACGAGAGAUAAAAGUCUGUAACUCUGGUCCCAGUUGAUAAAGUUACUUAUGUAACUCAUGAUCCAGAGGAUCAGUGCUACUUUGGAGUUAUCAUACAAACUAAGGAGUCUCACACUGGAUUUAGACUCUACCUUUUCAAAGCUGAGAGACCUAUAGUACAUUAUCAUGUCAUUAUGAUCAUACAUACAGUACAUGAACAGUUUCUGCAUGUAAAACUUGAUACCUGAUGUCUGCAUGAACUGGAUAGUAACUAGAAAACAAUUUUGACUUUAAUUUUACUAUCCUAUCAUUUUUAGGCUGUUACAUUUGUCAGUUCAUCUCGUGAGUUACAUGUAUUUGAUCUUAUCAUGAAGUUACGUCAAGCAAAGAAGAAGAUGAAAGAAGAAAAAGAAGCAGAUAAAGCACCUCAAUAAUCAUUAUUUCUAAUAGCCACAGACAGCAGUUAUGUCUGAAUGAGGUGCUCUUGAGUAAGAACUGAAUGCAAUAGGAGCACCAACAACAACAGCAACAUCUGCUCCUGCUCCAGCUCCUACUGCUCAGUCAGAGUACAUGAUAAUACCACCACCAGCACCAACAGGAGGAGCAGGUACCCGCCCCCAUCCAGGGGUACAACCCCCUCCCCUCUCUCACCCUCCCCCUCCAGCCAACCCUCCUCCCUCCUCUAGUGGGUUUGAUGAUUUAUCUGACGUCUUCUCAGGCAGCAGAGCUCUUACUAGUCUGUACGGGAAUCAGCCUCAAGCCCCUCCCACAUUUGCCCCACCCAAACCUGUUUGGUUUGGCCGGCCAGCUCCCUCUCCCUAAUUUCCCACCCCCUCCUGUACAAGAACCCUCCAUUAUGAGGGAUCUUAUGGACGCUAUACGUAACCCACAGCAAAACACAACCACUGCUUACCUGAUAGGUAUGGGAAUGAGAAUGCCUGGUUUGGGAAUGGGACCUCCUGCCGGGUAUGGAAUGGGGCAGUUUUAAUUUGGAGGGGGCAUGGCUGGAUUUCCUGGCGGCCCUCAGCCUCCCUCCCCAGUCUCGGAUAUUUUCAGUUUACCGGCUGACCCCCUACUAGACAGCAAUUUUUCUUAGCCACUCCUACCCACUAAAACCAGAGGGGCCAGAUCCCCGGAAAGUGGACAGCCCCCCCCCAGGGGGCUGGGGCUGGAGGGAAAAUUGAUGCAUUCUCUGAUCUGGUCUCAAUAGCUCGUGACGAAACAACCUCAAAACCAGAACCGGCUCCUCCCACAAUAUUCCAAGGUCCACCCACUAACACAGAAGCCUAUCUCCUGUACCAUACCGUCCACCUUAUUUAGACUUCACUGAUGCCCCACCCACUACAUCUGGCCCGGCCCCUUCUGGGUUUGACGAUACUUUUGGUACGUUGCCCCCAGGACAGGGGGCGGUUUUGGAGGUGGUAUGGAUAUGUUUGGUGAUAGUUUUACUAGUGGAGGCGAGGGUGUGGCUGCCCCUCCCCUUUCUCUAGCUGAUUCCUGGAUGUCUUUUAAUUAAAGACAUUAAAACAUUAUACAUGUACUUAUACACUAAUACAUGUACAUGUACACUUAUAUACAUGUAUAGUAACAUACAUUUGUUUAACUAUAAUGCAUUGUUGACUGAUUGACUUAUUGUAAUCAUUAUUAUUGUUGUUCUUGUUGCUGCAGAUUUUGUUGAUAGGGUGUACUUUUGCUAUUUUUAUUUUUUAAUUUUAAAAUUGCAAAAA